CUGCUUUAGCAGCACAUGUACUAAAACUGGAAUGAUAGAAGAUUAGCUUUGCCCCUGACAAAGGGUGACACACAGAUUUAUGAUGCAUUCCAUAUUUUU
ensembl:snRNA U6 U6 spliceosomal RNA